UUUUAAGGACUUGACUACGCGGCGGCGCCGCACAUCUGCCCUGCCCGUGCGACGGUUUCGGGCCCACCCACGUUAGCUGGCUGGCGCAGCACAUCCCACCCACGACGUUUUCUUCUCGCUCAAGACAAAUCGAUUGGGCCCCACCCACGUGACGAGAGCGCGCGUAGCAAGCGGGAAAAAUGCCUCCCUCCCGACAGCUCUCCUGCCAGCCCCACCCCAUUAAUUAGCCAGGUGGUCCCUACCCCUGACGAUCUCCUUCUUCCUCAAGACAAAUCAGCCUGAAAACAGAACUAGAUCUUGAGGAGAGAACGACGAACAGGAUCUGAAGAAGGGGAAAACCAUGGCAGAGAAACUGAAGACCUCCUACAUCUAGAAGAACUAAAAUUCGAAGAUUCCAAUACAGGUUGCAGAAAAGGAGAUGAACAUGAAUAUGCAAAUGGAAGUACCAGCAGUUACUUUAUCAGAUCAUGCAGGAUCUAGUAAGACAGGAACACACAAUGAAGGGGGCAGCUCCAUAGCUCUGUCAUCUGAGGCAGCAUACACUGAGAUUACACUUCCGGAAUCCAGUGGUCAGCACACUCCUCCACGUGGACAGAACAUUGGCAAUGAAGCAAAUCCAGAAGUAGUGUCGACCCCGCAUGCGCCAACUGCAAGCAUGAGAUUCGAUACACUUGAAGAUGCCCAGCGGCACUACUUGGCAUUUGCACGCAGGAGGGGUUUUGGAAUAA